rnacentral:rRNA from 1 species
AGGGUUUGAUUAUGGCUCAGGAUGAACGCUAGCGGCACGCUUCAUACAUGCAAGUCGAGGGGCAGCAUAAAUUACUUGUAAUUUGAUGGCGACCGGCGAACGGGUGCGUAACGCGUAUGCAACUUACCUUUUACUAGAGAAUAGCCAAGAGAAAUUUUGAUUAAUGCUCUAUACUCUUAUUAACUCACAUGAGUUUUUAAGAAAAGCUCCGGCGGUAAAAGAUGGGCAUGCGUCCUAUUAGCUUGUAGGUGAGGCAACGGCUCACCUAAGCUCCGAUAGGUAGGGGUCCUGAGAGGGAGAUCCCCCACACUGGUACUGAGACACGGACCAGACUUCUACGGAAGGCAGCAGUAAGGAAUAUUGGACAAUGGAGGAAACUCUGAUCCAGCGAUGCCGCGUGAAGGAAGACGGCCCUAUGGGUUGUAAACUUCUUUUAUACAGGAAUAAACCUAUCCACGUGUGGAUAGCUGAAGGUACUGUAAGAAUAAGGAUCGGCUAACUCCGUGCCAGCC